GUGCAUUUCCUCUGGUUCUGUUAACAUAAUGGGAAUUAAGCAUGUGCAUCGACUGAUAUAUCUCUCCAUAUGCUGGGAAUUUAAUUUCUCAGUCUAGGUGUGUCUUGGAUAAGAGGACUUGCAUUCACUGAGUGCUUCCUGCUGCUGCUGCUGCUGCUGCUGCUGCUGCUAAGUCACUUCAGUCAUGUCUGACUCUGUGACCCCAUAGACGGCAGCCCACCAGGCUCCCCCGUCCCUGGGAUUCUCCAGGCAAGAACACUGGAGUGGUUUGCCAUUUCCUUCUCCAAUGCAUGAAAAUGAAAAGUGAAAGUGAAGUUGCUCAGUCGUGUCUGACUGUUAGCGACCCCAUGGACUGUAGCCUGCCGGGCUCCGCCGUCCAUGGGAUUCUCCAGGGAAGAGUACUGGAGUGGCUUGCCAUUGCCUUCUCUGGAGUGCUUGCUACUCACCAACAACAGUGUACAUCAUCAUAGAUGGCUCACAAUAGCUAUUUACCCCCUACUGGUUUUCUUGCUCUUCUUUGAGUACGGACUCAGUGGCAGCAGCUGUGGAAGUCCUGGAGGUCAGCCCUUCCCAGAAUUCCCUCCGGCUCGUCUUCGUUUCUCUAGGCGGGAUCUCUGUGUCUCCUCUGAGAGCACAGCUUCAAACGGAAUUCACCCAUUGUACGAUGAGGUUGUGAGCUCUCAGAAGGCCAGAACCAUGUUGUAUACCUCUUUUGGCCCCAGUCAGCAUAUUCGAAAGGCCAAGUUUACACAGGACUUUCCAUGA
rnacentral:lncRNA from 1 species